CCGCAGCAGCCGCGGUAAUUCCUACGGGAGGCAGCAGUGGGGAAUUUUGGACAAUGGGCGCAAGCCUGAUCCAGCAAUGCCGCGUGAGUGAAGAAGGCCUUCGGGUUGUAAAGCUCUUUCAGUCGAGAAGAAAAGGCUGCAGUGAAUAACUGUAGUUUAUGACGGUAUCGACAGAAGAAGCACCGGCUAACUACGUGCCAGCAGCCGCGGUAAU
rnacentral:rRNA from 1 species